CGAUGCCUCGGCGGCCGGACCUUUUUGACUGCUCUGAUAAAGCGGCGCGGCGUGCUUUCCGUAGACAAGAGCGGGUCCGGGGUACCGGCGGCGGUAGGGACCGUCGACCUCGGCUUGCCUUUGCCUGGAUUAGGUCGUCGUACGUGGCGUGGUGCUUGGAUAUACUGCGUGGAUCGCGUUCUUAAAAAGAGAGUAUUGCUGUUUCCGUUGUAAAAUAACAUAAUUCUUGCUUUUUCAAUUGAGUCACGGUUUUUAAAAAAAUAGCGAAGUUUUAUAAAAGAUAUCAUCGCCUAUGGUGCCCAGUAAAUAUCUCCAGCCUAAUUAUAGAACAUGAUCU
rnacentral:lncRNA from 7 species